GAUGAACGCUGACAGAAUGCUUAACACAUGCAAGUCAACUUGAACUUCGGUUUGGGUGGCGGACGGGUGAGUAACGCGUAAAGAACUUGCCUCACAGUUAGGGACAACAUUUGGAAACGAAUGCUAAUACCUGAUAUUAUGAUUUUAGGACAUCCUAGAAUUAUGAAAGCUAUAUGCGCUGUGAGAGAGCUUUGCGUCCCAUUAGCUAGUUGGAGAGGUAACGGCUCACCAAGGCGAUGAUGGGUAGCCGGCCUGAGAGGGUGAUCGGCCACAAGGGGACUGAGACACGGCCCUUACUCCUACGGGAGGCAGCAGUGGGGAAUAUUGGACAAUGGACCAAGAGUCUGAUCCAGCAAUUCUGUGUGCACGAUGAAGUUUUUCGGAAUGUAAAGUGCUUUCAGUUGGGAAGAAAAAAAUGACGGUACCAACAGAAGAAGUGACGGCUAAAUACGUGCCAGCAGCCGCGGUAAUACGUAUGUCACAAGCGUUAUCCGGAUUUAUUGGGCGUAAAGCGCGUCUAGGUGGUUAUGUAAGUCUGAUGUGAAAAUGCAGGGCUCAACUCUGUAUUGCGUUGGAAACUGUGUAACUAGAGUACUGGAGAGGUAAGCGGAACUACAAGUGUAGAGGUGAAAUUCGUAGAUAUUUGUAGGAAUGCCGAUGGGGAAGCCAGCUUACUGGGCAGAUACUGACGCUGAAGCGCGAAAGCGUGGGUAGCAAACAGG
rnacentral:rRNA from 1 species